GUAGGUGGCAAGCGUUGUCCGGAAUUAUUGGGCGUAAAGCGCGCGCAGGCGGUUCUUUAAGUCUGAUGUGAAAGCCCACGGCUCAACCGUGGAGGGUCAUUGGAAACUGGAGAACUUGAGUACAGAAGAGGAAAGCGGAAUUCCACGUGUAGCGGUGAAAUGCGUAGAGAUGUGGAGGAACACCAGUGGCGAAGGCGGCUUUCUGGUCUGUAACUGACGCUGAGGCGCGAAAGCGUGGGGGAGCAAACAGGAUUAGAUACCCUGGUGGUCCACGCCGUAAACGAUGAGUGCUAAGUGUUAGGGGGUUUCCGCCCCUUAGUGCUGCAGCUAACGCAUUAAGCACUCCGCCUGGGAGUACGGCCGCAAGGCUG
rnacentral:rRNA from 1 species